rnacentral:rRNA from 1 species
GUUUUAGCAGCCGCGGUAAGACGAACCGUGCGAACGUUGUUCGGAAUCACUGGGCUUAAAGGGCGCGUAGGCGGCUUACAAAGUCAGGGGUGAAAUCUUGCGGCUUAACCGUAAUCAGCCUCUGAUACUGGUAGGCUCGAGGGAGGUAGGGGUAUGCGGAACUUCUGGUGGAGCGGUGAAAUGCGUUGAUAUCAGAAGGAACGCCGGUGGCGAAAGCGGCGUACUGGACCUCUUCUGACGCUGAGGCGCGAAAGCUAGGGGAGCAAACGGGAUUAGAUACCCUGGUAGUCC